GGCUAAGUAGCUCAAGGGUAGAGCACUGGUCUCAUAAGCCGGUUGUUGGUGGUUCGAAUCCACCCUUAGCCA
rnacentral:tRNA from 1 species